GAUUUUACAGCCUUGGUAUGUCCUGAGGGACAACCAGCUUAAUUCACCACUGCAUUUGAAAUGCAUUUUCAAAGUACAAGUCACAAAGGAAUGGUGUUUGGAGCCAGAACGGUUGGAAUCCCAUCGGAUCCAUCCCAUUGCUAACUACGCUCGCAGACAAGUGACUGCCUUCCUCGUUAGUCCCAUCGGUAUCAUCAGACACAGCAUCUACUAUGGUCCCUGGUCCCCUUUGGGGUUCACUCCUUCCUCUCCACACACUGAAUCACCUCUGUGGUAUAGUGAGUUGCCACAGCGGUGGCUUGUCUUCCUUCUGAGAUGUAAAUAGAACCGUUGGCUAUUAAUGUAGUUAAUCCUGACUCUCCAUUGAGAGUUGUCCUCUUCCCCUCUAUAUCAUUUACAUAUCUCUACACAUUUAUUUUACACACAAAAUAUGAGUGGCCAGGAAAUGGUUCCUUUUUAAAAUCCUGAUUUUACCCAGAGUAGGACAUGUCUUUUCAUUUCUUAUUUCUUACUGAUUGUUGGGAACACGAUGAUCAGAAAGUGAGGUGCCUGCGACCAACAUUGCUGCAAAUGCAGAGAAAGGUGUGUGUGUGUGUGUGUGUGUGUGUGUGUGUGUGUGUGUGUGUGUGUGUGAUAGAGAGA